UAGGGUGCGAGCGUUAAUCGGAAUUACUGGGCGUAAAGCGUGCGCAGGCGGUUUGUUAAGUCUGAUGUGAAAGCCCCGGGCUCAACCUGGGAACUGCAUUGGAAACUGGCAAGCUCGAGUAUGGCAGAGGGGGGUGGAAUUCCGCGUGUAGCAGUGAAAUGCGUAGAGAUGCGGAGGAACACCGAUGGCGAAGGCAGCCCCCUGGGCCAAUACUGACGCUCAGGCACGAAAGCGUGGGGAGCAAACAGGAUUAGAUACCCUGGUAGUCCACGCCCUAAACGAUGCUCACUAGGUGUUGGGGAAGCGAUUCCUUGGUACCGAAGCUAACGCGUGAAGUGAGCCGCCUGGGGAGUACGGCCGCAAGGUUA
rnacentral:rRNA from 1 species